AACGAACGCUGGCGGCAUGCCUAACACAUGCAAGUCGAACGAGACCUUCGGGUCUAGUGGCGCACGGGUGCGUAACGCGUGGGAACCUGCCCUUAGGUUCGGAAUAACUCCCCGAAAGGGGUGCUAAUACCGGAUAAUGUCUUCGGACCAAAGAUUUAUCGCCUUUGGAUGGGCCCGCGUUGGAUUAGCUAGUUGGUAGGGUAAAAGCCUACCAAGGCGACGAUCCAUAGCUGGUCUGAGAGGAUGAUCAGCCACACUGGGACUGAGACACGGCCCAGACUCCUACGGGAGGCAGCAGUGGGGAAUAUUGGACAAUGGGCGAAAGCCUGAUCCAGCAAUGCCGCGUGAGUGAUGAAGGCCUGAGGGUUGUAAAGCUCUUUUACCCGGGAUGAUAAUGACAUUACCGGGAGAAUAAGCUCCGGCUAACUCCGUG
rnacentral:rRNA from 1 species